UUCUUCCAUGGACAGUAAAUGUGAUGUGUGCUAAGGCACGUUUACAAAAUUUCCGUAGUCGUGAAAAUCAUUUCAACACAUUACGAUGUCGGGUUGGGAUUUCCAUUUCCAGUGGGAAAAAGAGUGUUUUUGAGUUACGAGCAUGGUCACAAAAUGAAUUCAAUUGUGCCUCAGGGCACCACUGUACGCACAAAAUCAUUUCACACAAAUUCGCGUACUCGUAUCAUACAAAAGAAAAUGCCCAGGGGAAAAAAACAUGCACAAACAUCCAUAUACUUGCGCCAAAAUUAAAAUACUUACACAAUGGUGCCAUCAUAA